UGUUUUACCAAACACUUUAGCAUUCCAGAUUUUUUAAUAAGCUAUUUUUUCUGAAAACACCACAAUCUUAAACCAAUCCUAAAACUCUCUUACACGACCAGGCUAUGGAGGUGACCUCCAUUAGCAAAAGUAAACAAUUAAAUUUAGAAAAAUAUUCACAACAGAGGGAAAAUUGAAUAAUUAUAAGAGUUUUAAGUGGAUAAGUGUCUAAAAUUAAAGUUCAAAAUGAAAAUCAGUAAGACCAUUACAAUUUUAAAAGAAAAAUUGACCAAUACCACAUUUUCAAAUUUUUGCUUGACAAUUGAUUCGUUUGUUAGUGGUCACAUCAAUCAUAUACCACUAAAAGCUAAACUCUGUUAGUGGUCACAUCAAUCAUAUACCACUAAAAGCUAAACUCACUUAUUCAUUAGUAUUAAAGAUAAGGAAAAUACUUGCUGCUCAACG
rnacentral:lncRNA from 1 species